rnacentral:rRNA from 1 species
UACGUAGGGGGCAAGCGUUGUCCGGAAUCAUUGGGCGUAAAGAGCUCGUAGGCGGCUUAGUAAGUCAGGUGUGAAACCUCCAGGCUCAACCUGGAGACGCCAUCUGAUACUGCCGUGGCUUGAGUCCGGUAGAGGAGCAGGGAAUUCCUGGUGUAGCGGUGAAAUGCGCAGAUAUCAGGAGGAACACCAGCGGCGAAGGCGCUGCUCUGGGCCGGUACUGACGCUGAGGAGCGAAAGCGUGGGGAGCGAACAGG